rnacentral:lncRNA from 1 species
GGUGAAUUGAAGCAUCUACGGUAUCUUGAUCUCUCCCACACUGGGAUAAGAAGUUUGCCAGACUCGACAACAACUCUGUACAACUUGCAGACAUUGUUAUUGAAAAGUUGUGACCAGUUGAAGGCACUGCCCACAAGCAUGAGGAACCUAGUUAAUUUGCGUCAUCUCAACAAUUCAGGUACACGGUCGUUGAAAGAAAUGCCUCCUCAGCUUGGUCAAUUGACUAACCUCCAAACAUUGCCUGAGUUUGUUAUUGGCAAAGGUAGUGGAUCAGGAGUAAGAGAGAUCGAGUCAUUAUUGCAUCUGCAAGGGACAUUGCACAUCUCAAGACUAGAAAAUGUGAUUUGUGUCGAGGAUGCCAGGAGUGCCAACUUAAAGAGCAAGGAAAGGCUUGAAGCCCUAUUUCUUGAAUGGUCUUCUUCGAGUGUCUCAACAGAAGAUGCAGCAAUUGUGCUUGACAUGUUACAACCUCAUAGCAAGCUCAAAGAGCUCACCAUCAAAGGUUAUGCUGGAUUGAAAUUUUCAACAUGGAUUGGGAAUCCUUCAUUCACUAAAAUGGUGCGGGUAGAGUUAGAAGGUUGUAAUCAUUGUCAAUUCUUGCCACCAUUCGGACAGUUGCCUUGUCUCAAAGAACUUUGUAUACAAGAAAUGGAUGCAGUGGAGAGUGUUGGUGUUGAGUUUUAUGGAAAAGGUAAAUUGUCGUUUCAAGCUUUAGAGACCCUGGAGUUACAUAAUCUGAAAAAUUGGAAGAAGUGGUAUCCUUGCCAACAAAGUGAGGGGGUUGAAGUUUUCUCUUGCCUGAAAAAGCUUUCCAUCGGCGGCUGCCCUAGAUUGGAGGGUGAUUUACCAGAGAAGCUUGAUUCAUUAGCACAGCUUAGGAUAUAUGGAUGUGAGGAAUUGGUGGUUCAGUAUCUAAAUACAAACAGCUUCAUGGAUCAAACAUUGAAAAGUGCAAGAUGGUGGUGUACGACACAAGUACAGUUCAGUUUGAGUUACUAGAGAGUUUGACAUAUUCAAAUGUAUCAGAAUUGAGAUUCCAAACAGAGGCGUUCAUGAAAAGCUUGAAAAAUGUUAAAGAGUUGAAGAUCACUGGUUGUGAGGAGCUUACACGUUGCUUUCAAAAUGAGGAUAGAUUACUGCAACACUUGAUUUCUCUUGGUCGUCUGUAUAUCGAAGACAACUCGAUCCUUGUUGAAAAGCUAGGGAUUGAAGCAGAGCAGUUGGUGCAAUUGCAAAUCCUGGAUUGCAAGAUUGAACGUCUGGAAUUAAGCAAGUGUGGAAGCCUUGUGAAGGUACCAGAAGGAUUGCAUCACCUUAGAUCACUUCAAGAGCUGCACAUAAGUGAAUGUUCAAGUCUUGUUUCUUUUCCGGAUGUUGGUCUGCCACCUUGUCUUCAAGAGCUGCACAUAAGUAAAUGUUCAAGUCUUGUUUCUUUUCCGGAUGUUGGUCUGCCACCUUGUCUCCAAGUCAUAGUGAUUCAUGACUGCGAAUCUCUUUCACACUUGAUGCAGCUCUUGAUCUAAGUCACACCCAGAAUAUUGGAAGAAUGAUCAAAAGUCAUUUCCCACACUCCCAGGUUGGUGGAUUCUGCCAUCUGGUUAUGUACAUUUUACCUAGCUGGAAUCUUCUUCUGACAUGUACCAUCUUCUCCUCCAGUAAUCCAUAAAGUUAGGUUUAGCUAAGAUACAACUUCUUUUCUGUCAUUGUGCAAGUAAAUAAGUAAUACUAUCUGACUUUUACAAAUCUCAAAAAGUUCAGAAAAUGUUUUAGGCAUAGCUGUGAUCUGGCAUAUCCACUGCUCUUUGACUGAUCAUCAUCCCUUGGCUGUUUGUAGAGUCUGGUAUUCUGGAGUUUGUAAUUCAAACCUCAUUCUACAAAAGAGCAGAUUGCAGCAUAACUUAUAAAGAUAAUAUGCGACUUCUACUUACCCAUUUUUCUUGUUUAUCACAUUUUUUUCAGUUCAUUGUGGUUUCACUGAAAGAGGGCAUGUUCAAUAAUGCUAAUGUCCUUUUCCGAACAAAGUUUGUGGAUGGAAUUUCAACUGUUCAAAGGACCGUUGCUAAACAAAACAAGUGAUGCUGGUACAUCUCCAAUCCCUUUACUAAAUGGCCCUUUCUACUGUUUUCUUUCCAUGUUUCCAUGCUCAUUUCAAUUGUAGCUUUGCGUUGAACACAAGUUGCUUCUUUGCUAUCAUAUCAAGUAUAACUUGUUCUGAUUUGUCGAACUUUUCUCUUUUGGUUCAGAUGUUUUACUUUACCAUGGUGAAUGAUCCUUUCCUGUGAGGGCUUAUCUAUCUUCAACGUAUGUAUGAGAAACUUCUUGUUUGUCUACUACAUGUGCUAGUUGGUUAUGCAAUCAAUCUCCAGCUUUCAUUUAGAUACAAGUGCAUAUGUAAAACUGUAUCAACUCUUGAGUAGUUUCAUGGUGGUGGCAUCCCAAUGUUGUGCUUGUUUCGAGCCUUGUGCUCAACCUGCAUAUAUUGUAGAGCGUCGAAUUUGUACGCCAAAUUUUCGAAUAAUUGUUGAAUUUGAAUGAUAUUGCCCAUAAGCCCAUCUCUGUGAAGACUAUCCAAUAAUUAUUCAAAUUCACCAAAAAAAAAAGGUGGUCCAAAUACGUUUUAUUGCCAAAAACGCAUCUUCCAAAAAUCAUUUACUAAACAUGGCCGUCUCCAGUUUAACAGAUGAAAACAUAGAUGCACACAUACAGUAAGUGUCAACGGUUACAGUAGAACACACACUUUUACCAGUUAAAAUGGUAAUUUCGGUGUCGGCAGGGUGAAACCUUUGUGUUCCAUCGCCUUUUCCCGUCAUUCCUGUUGAGUGGCUCACCUUUGUUUCAUCGACUUUUAGGAAAGUGCGAGUGGUUUUCAUAUCUAGACUUUUUGCCAGAGGAGCUUCUAUCCAUUCAUACUUGAACUAUACACACUGCACUGUAUCAUUAUUCAUCUAANNNNNNNNNNNNNNNNNNNNUGAACUAAUUAAACUGGAUCCGCUUACUAAUUUGUGCAGUAUAGCUGGAAUCAGAUCGAUCUGCAACAAGAAAGUCUGUCAUGAUCAUGAUCUCAGAGACUUGGCUCACCUUGUGGAAGAAUUAACGUUGCAAGUGUUUUAGUUGUGAUCUCACAGAAGAAAUAAUCAACUUUUCAUGUAAGUGCAUGUUUUCCGAUCUUGCAAAUUAAGGGAAACAAAUCAGAUUUAACACCCAUUUCAUUGUUUAAAUUAUUUUCUAGCAUGCAUGCAUCAACUAUAAUUGUACCUUAAUUAACUACUAGCUUCACUUUCUGCAGUUUUGAAUACAUCGAUUGUACAAAAAAGAAACGAUGGGGGAGGCUGUUCUUGGUGCAUUCCUCCCGGUGCUGCUUGAGAAGUUGGCGGAUCAAGAGAUCACUGAGUACUUCGGACGCCUUAAGGGGGUCGACAAAAAGGUGCUGGAGAAAUGGACUAGAACGUUGAGGGCCAUUGAAGCGGUGCUGAGUGAUGCUGAGGAGAAGCAACUAACACAAAGAGCAGUAAAAGACUGGCUGGAUGAUCUCAGAGAUUUGUCUUACGAUCUUCAAGAUGUAUUGGACAUAUUUGAUACUAAAAUGCUGAAGCGGAGGAUAGAAAGACAACAAGGAAACAAAAGCAAGUUAUGGAGCUCACUCUCUAAAGUUAAGUCCAAUUUUGGUCUGAACUCAGCAAUCAAGAAGAUAAGUGAUCGACUUGAGGAGAUAACCACUCGAGAGAAGCAGCUUGGUUUGAAGAAACUUGGAGUGUCUAAAAAGCCAUGGAAAAUGCCACCCACUACUUAUCAACUUGAUGGACCUGUGAUCGGAAGGGAUGAAGCAAAGGCUAAGAUUCUCUAUGAUUUGCUUUCAAAACAAGAGAAUUAUCAUGUGGUUGGUAUUGUCGGUACUGGAGGACUAGGAAAGACAACACUUGCUAAACAUGUAUUCAACGAUGCUGCAACUGGCCAGUUUUCCCCAAAAGGAUGGGUAUCUGUGUCAGACGACUUUGACAUUGUAAGGGUGGCAGCAGCCGUUUUGGAAUCAGUCACGUCCUCUCCAGUUCAGGAAUUCAAGGAGCUUAACUCAAUUCUGGAGAAGUUAAGUAAGGAAUUGGCUGGUAAGAAGUUUUUAAUUGUUCUUGAUGAUGUCUGGCACACUUGUAGCUAUAGUCAAUGGACUACACUGCAGGCCUCCUUUCGUGUUGGAGCAGCUGGAAGUAAGAUCAUCGUGACAACACGUGACGCCAAAGUCGCAAAUAUGAUGGGAGAUAGGAGCCCUUAUAACUUGAACCCGAUGUCAGAAGAUGAAUGUUGGAAACUCUUUCAGCACCAUGCACAGUUAAAAAACAGACCUGAAGAUGUUGAGUUCCUUAAAGAGAAAAUUGUAGAAAAAUGCAAUGGGUUACCGUUAGUUGCAAGGACUCUUGGUGGGCUUUUACGUUGUAAAGAAGUAGACGAAUGGGAAGACUUAUUAGACCACAAGAUGAGGACUCUAUCAGAUCAGAACAAGAAGGAAAUCCUUCCAGCAUUGAAACUGAGCUAUCAUUAUCUCCCUUCGACUUUGAAACGGUGUUUCUCCUACUGUGGAAUACUUCCAAAUGAUUAUGAAUUUGAGGAGAUGCAAUUGAUCCUUUGGUGGAUGGCAGAAGGUUUGAUUCCGCCCAAAGAACAUGAGCAAAUGGAAGAUUUGGGUCGUGACUAUUUUCAAGAGUUGGUGUCUAGAUCAUUGUUUCAAAAAUCAAGCAAAACAGAGUCGCGGUACAUAAUGCAUGACCUCGUUACUGAUUUGGCACGUUGGGCUGCAGGAAGUUCAUGUUGUAGAUUGGAGGACAUGCAGAAUUAUGACUCGCAGCAACAUACAUGUUUGCCCAAGGUUCGUCAUUCGUCUUACAUUCUUGGAAAGUAUGAUGGGGUUAAGAAGUUCGAGGUCUAUUCUGAAGCUACAUCUUUGCGAACGUUCUUACCACUUUCACCUUCAUAUUAUGUUCAUUAUCUGGCUCCGAAGGUUACUUCUGAUUUAUUUCCCAAACUCCAAUACUUACGACUCCUCUCUUUGAAAAGUUAUCGAAUAACCGAGUUGCCAGAUACAAUUGGUGAAUUGAAGCAUCUACGGUAUCUUGAUCUCUCCCACACUGGGAUAAGAAGUUUGCCAGACUCGACAACAACUCUGUACAACUUGCAGACAUUGUUAUUGAAACGUUGUCACGAGUUGAAGGCACUGCCCACAAGCAUGAGGAACCUAGUUAAUUUGCGUCAUCUCAACAAUUCAUUUACACGGUCAUUGGAAGAAAUGCCUCCUCAGCUUGGUCAAUUGACUAACCUCCAAACAUUGCCUGAGUUUGUUAUUGGCAAAGGUAGUGGAUCAGGAGUAAGAGAGAUCGAGUCAUUAUUGCAUCUGCAAGGGACAUUGCACAUCUCAAGACUAGAAAAUGUGAUUCGUGUCGAGGAUGCCAG